AUGAGAACGUGUUUCAAUCUCAAGGCUUGCAAUGUGUCUUGUCUCCUGUUCCAUACCUCUCUCCACCCAUGCCUUUUUUUUUUUUUCCUCUAUACUCCAUCCCCCCACGUACUUAUCACAGGCUUGAGCUGUACCAGUCUGCAGGGAAUUAAAACUGAGAUACGUAAAUGUCAGAUCCUAUUAUAGUUAACAAGAAACUUCCAGCAGGAUCCCCCCAAGCACUGUAACCCCUGGCAGGCGAGCGCCCCCCUCCCAGUAUCGGGGCGCCUGUGGAUCACAGCCGUGGGGGCGGUUGGGAAAGUUUUAAGGUUGUUUGCUUUAAUGGAUUUGUUCCAAGUGAGGCGCAUGUUUUUCAAAAACGAAUGCCAAAGAUAACAAAGAAUGCAAAGGAGAGGGGAAAGGGAGACUUAUCCAGAAUAUACGGGUGAACCCGGAUAAGACUUUACUAAACAGCAGAAUGUUCAAGGGCACUUGGCUCUCCACCUCAUUUGGAAUGACCCACGAAGACUGAGGUUAAAAACAAUGUACAUAAUCACUUUGGAAGACGGUGAUUUGGGACCCGGAAUGUGUUUAACAUCAUCUUCGUGUCACUUGGGGGCAGAGGUCACUGCAUUAUUCUGUUAUUUAAGCUGUUUACAUCUAUAUUUGAGAGGUCUUUGUUGACAAUUUUGUUUCCAAGUAAUUUUCUAAAAACAUUCUAAUUACUGUUCCCUGUCAUUAGCUACUGUAAUUUGUUUUCAGGGCUGAUGGUCAGCACUGUAAUUGCAUUCAGAGCGCUGAAUGGGUUUGCAGGAUCACUUGGUCCACCUCCCUGUUCAGCAUACUGCUGUUUCUUGAACCCACUUUAGAUUUAAAAGAGUUAUGUCAUUUACAUCUUUAAAGAAGAUAAUGGAAGAUGAUUAUUUUCUCCUAUUAUCAUUUAGCAUUUGCAUAGCACUUCCAUUUCCAAAGGCAUUACAAUCAUUUAUUCAUUACCCAGCCCUGCACCCUUAAGCCAUAUGGAGUCUCUGAUUUCUAGAUAAGCCACUGAGGCUGGGGAAGGGCUGUUGCCGAGUGAGAAGUUCCUCCUUUCCUGUUAGGAUUCCCACCCUUUUCCCAGGCCACCCCACCCAACUGGGAUCUGCACAGGCUGGCCUCAUUGCUGUGUUUGAAGUUUUGUGUUUGAUGUUCUCUGAAUGUGUGUAUAAAAUACAUUCCAAACUCACAUAUAGAUUGCUUUGGGAUUAUUUGAUGUUUGGGAUUUUCCCUGUACUGUUCACUCCCAUUCGUUCAUUUGCCCCUUCAUUAAAACCUGUGUCAAGUGGCCCCUCUAUGUCAGGCAGUGAGCUAGGCUCUGGGGAG
rnacentral:lncRNA from 1 species